UGUCCGCUCGCUAGAUAUUUUCUCCCGGUGGGUGGCGCGACCCCAUAUAACACUCGCCGUCGUCGACGAGAGCGUGCAUCCUCCGCAGUCAGCACCGCUACCCUCCGGCCGUGCGGCGAGUACGUACAUCGGAUGGACGAUCGUCUGGCGGUGCUGGCACGCAGCGAGGGGUGGACGGAGGAGCGUCAUGCGGCGUUCCUCGAGGGCGUCGAGCUCUCCUUCGUCCAGGAGGUCCUCGUAGGAGCCGUCGGCGUCAGCGACGUGCGGCGAGCGUCGCACAGGAUCAGCCGCCGGGAACAACCCCCGGCCGGUGGCCGCGGCCAGCUCCCGCUGGAUCGCCCACUCCCUGACAGCGCCGUCGAGUCCAACCGCCGUGGACCCUCCUCCCGACCUGCGGCCCGCGACGCUAAAUGACGUGUGCUGGACGCUGGAUGGCUACAGGUUGCAUCUCAUGAAUCACAAGUUAACCAGCUAGUUAAACUAGCAAGUUAAAAUCAAAUUGAUUGACUGAUAAGUUUCCUUCAACACUUCAACGUCCGUGACCUCCAAAGUUCAUGUAAAUGGCAGGGGAAAUCUAGAUUUGUACAACCAUGCCCAGAUCAGUCAUCAGUCCAUGUCAAUAAUGCACCUUUCAUGGUGGGGCAUAGUGAGUACGUUGGUGAUGCGCUAGUUCGUUUUUAUUGUCUUAAGACCGCUCACUUCAUGUCUUGUGCAUGUUUACCUGGAUAUGCGUGAUAUUUAUGUAACUGAGAUAUUUCUCAUAAA